ACUUAAAUAACUUAAAUUAAAAGAGUAUUAUAUUGAAGAUAUAAAAGUGAUAUAAAUUAUCUUUAAGUA
rnacentral:tRNA from 1 species